UUUAAAAGUGAAAAGGAAAAGGGAUUUUAUGUAUAUAUGUAUACCUUUAUCAAGAAAAGGAAGAAAAAAAAGAGAAGAAAUUAGUUUUCUUUUUUUUUCUCUCUCCACAGUCGCCCACAGACCCUACCCCCUCUUCUUCUUCCCGUUUCACCAAGCCCUAUCCGUCGAAGGAGCCACUCGCGUCUGGCUGCUGGUCGUCACUCUCAAAGCUGUCGUCGGAUCCCUAGCCAUCGGAGUUGUCGCGAGCCCGUCGUCAACGCCGUUCUUUAGUCGUGUCGUCUGCUGUCGUCUCGUCCAGAUCUUCUUCGUCAAACGUCGCGGCCGUGAACGAAGCCACGCCGCUCAACUAUUCGCCUCAAACCCGCCAGAUCCAACAUCCAGUCAUCGAUUCUUUCUUAUUUCGCCAAUCGUUGCCGUCGGGAACUCCACCAUCGAUGGGGUCUGAUUUGGAGGUUGGAAGGUUUUGAGGUAUUGUCCAACAGUGUUGAAGGUUGUUUUGGUGUGUCAUAAGCCGUUUUCCAGCCGAUUCGAAGUUGUUCCGAAGGAUUUUAGUUGGGGUCCAUUGGUGAAGUAAUAAAGUGGAUUUGGAUUUAGCUUAAUUUUUGUGAGCUAAUUCGAGGGUUGUGGGAAAGUUAGUAAGGAGUCUGUUUGCUUGGAGUAAUUUUUGGGCUUAAUUUGAGGUAAGUGGUACUAUUACCGGUGCCUUCAUGCCACGCGGCCUAGAUUAAAUUUAUAAAGUUAAUUAAUGGGCUUUAGAAGCAUGAUUUUGUCGUUGUGAUAUAUUUGUUGCAUGACAAUUAUGAGUAUUAUGAGCAUGUUUGAAUUUCUAAUCGGUACUGAAAUUAUGUAUGUGAUGCAUGAUUAGAUCAAUAGGAUAGUUUACCGUCUCGCCUUGAUGUUCAGAGGGCCGACGAGUCUAGUUUUAUGUUUGAUGGUGUGCCUACGGGCUGCUAGACAUGCGUGAAUCGAAAAGUUCAUGUUCAUGUUAUUUUUUUCAUGUUUGACAGCGUGCCUACGGGCCGCUAGACAUGCAUGAGUCGACAGGUUCACGUUCAUGUUAUUUUUCCAUGUUUGACUGUGUGCUUAUAGGCCGCUAGACAUGCGUGAGUCGACAAGUUCACGUUCAUGUUAUUUUUCCAUGUUUAACGGUGUGCCUACGAGCCUCUAGACGUGUGAAUCGACAGGUUCAUGUUCAUGUUAUUUUUCCAUGUUUGACGGUGUGCCAUCAGGCCACUAGACAUGCGAGUCAAGGCAAGACAAUGCGCCUUUUUGUUUCUUUUCAUCAUCUAAGACAGAUGUAGUUAUUUGAGCCACGGGCCAUCAUUCUCUACUCGUGGAUGCAUAGCCUGAUCCCGGUAAUGAGAUCACUUACUGAGUAUUUUAUAUUCAACCUUUAUCUUUAUUUUUUUUACAUAAGGGCAAGGAUACUCGGGUGACUGACAAGAGGAAUCCGUGACAGUGCCAAAGGAAUUAGAAUCGCUUUCAUAUUUAAAUCUUUAUGUCUUCUCAUGUUUUUAUUUUAUUCUAUUUAGUUAUUUAUUUAUUUACUUCAUGUUAAGGGGUACCCAGGUCAAACGAUUUAAAAUCUUGAGUUAAAGUCAAAAUAGUUCUUUUACUUUUAAGCAGUCUAAAAUCCUAUUAUUUUAUUUUAUUUGGUUUUAUUUUGUUUUUCCUCAAUGUGAAUAUUUAUGCAUGCAUGCAGUAACGAUUUCAUUUUCGUUGUCCUAAAAAGUGGAGUUGUUACACCCCGCUUGCAUGGCUCCACAUGAAUGUUCAGGAUCUACCAUCUAUAGUAGUUUACAACACUUGUAACCUCUACAAGGCGGGUCAUAGUCGUAGUAUCACCAGGAUCAGCGUAGAGCUCAGAACAACGAUUCUAACACCUCUUGAAUCACUCAAAUCGGAGCUAAAACGAAAACGAUAUGACCGAAACAAGUCUAUAAAGAAAAUAUCGUGGAGGAUGACGUGGCAUAACCAGACCAUUUACAUGUAAACAUGUGGCAUCAUAUUGGUUGAAUGGUGGAUCAUUAAGAGAUUAACAUAUGAUAGACUUUUGAUUUUUGGAUUGAUUUAAAAUAAAAAAUUGAAAUUAAAAAGAAAUUUAAAAGGAAAAUAAAUUUAAUAUUAUUUUAUGUUUGUGUCGGUUCAUACGAGAUUUACGGAGAAACGUGUUUCGUGGAGUUGAACUUGAGUUGGUGUUGAUGUUGGAGUUGAUUUGAUGCGAUGUGGUUCGAUUUUUAAUAUUUGA